UACGGAGGGUGCAAGCGUUAUCCGGAUUCACUGGGUUUAAAGGGUGCGUAGGAGGGCAGGUAAGUCAGUGGUGAAAUCCCCGAGCUUAACUUGGGAACUGCCGUUGAUACUAUCUGUCUUGAAUGCUGUGGAGGUGAGCGGAAUAUGUCAUGUAGCGGUGAAAUGCUUAGAUAUGACAUUGAACACCAAUUGCGAAGGCAGCUCGCUACACAGUUAUUGACUCUGAGGCACGAAAGCGUGGGGAUCAAACAGG
rnacentral:rRNA from 1 species